AAACCGAGUCUUAACUGGGCGAAUGAGUUGCAGGGUAUAGACCCGAAACCCGGUGAUCUAUCCAUGGGCAGGUUGAAGGUUGGGUAACACUAACUGGAGGACCGAACCGACUAAUGUUGAAAAAUUAGCGGAUGACUUGUGGAUGGGGGUGAAAGGCCAAUCAAACCGGGAGAUAGCUGGUUCUCCCCGAAAGCUAUUUAGGUAGCGCCUCGUGAAUUCAUCUUCGGGGGUAGAGCACUGUUUCGACUAGGGGGUCAUCCCGACUUACCAACUCGAUGCAAACUGCGAAUACCGAAGAAUGUUAUCACGGGAGACA
rnacentral:rRNA from 1 species